UGCAAAGGACUAAAAACACCUUUCUCCGCCACCGCUGUUUGCAGAAAAUGAUUUAUGGGUGCUACUGAUAACUGCUAUUUCAGAUUAAAGCUGAGCUACUCUAGAUUAAAAGUACCUCAGUUGUUGAAAACGAAUUUCACGCAUCAUCAUGGGCUGAAAAGCUAAGUGCCUGCUUUCUUUCUGCACUCAGCUGCCAGUCCAGAGAUGUGCAGAGCAAAACUCAGACUCUCUUUAAUGCCCUGGAGCUGGAUAGCAACAUACUGUUUGGAGCUCAAAAGCAGAGCUGGCCUUUGGUAACCUCCUCCUUCCCACCUGUUCUGGAUAUUGGUUAACUGGAAAGAUGAAUAAUGAAUCAGACGUUUCAGG
ensembl:lncRNA